UACGGAGGGUGCAAGCGUUAUCCGGAUUUACUGGGUUUAAAGGGUGCGUAGGCGGGCCUGUAAGUCAGUGGUAAAAUCUUCCCGCUUAACGGGAAAACUGCCAUUGAUACUAUAGGUCUUGAAUUCAGUUGAGGUGGGCGGAAUGUGUCGUGUAGCGGUGAAAUGCUUAGAUAUGUCAUAGAACACCGAUUGCGAAGGCAGCUGACAAAACUGUAACUGACGCUGAGGCUCGAAAGUGCGGGGAUCAAACAGG
rnacentral:rRNA from 1 species